AUUGAACGCUGGCGGCAGGCCUAACACAUGCAAGUCGGGCGGAUGAAGGGAGCUUGCUCCUGGAUUCAGCGGCGGACGGGUGAGUAAUGCCUAGGAAUCUGCCUGGUAGUGGGGGAUAACGUCCGGAAACGGGCGCUAAUAUCGCAUACGUCCUGAGGGAGAAAGUGGGGGAUCUUCGGACCUCACGCUAUCAGAUGAGCCUAGGUCGGAUUAGCUAGUUGGUGGGGUAAAGGCCUACCAAGGCGACGAUCCGUAACUGGUCUGAGAGGAUGAUCAGUCACACUGGAACUGAGACACGGUCCAGACUCCUACGGGAGGCAGCAGUGGGGAAUAUUGGACAAUGGGCGAAAGCCUGAUCCAGCCAUGCCGCGUGUGUGAAGAAGGUCUUCGGAUUGUAAAGCACUUUAAGUUGGGAGGAAGGGCAGUAAGUUAAUACCUUGCUGUUUUGACGUUACCAACAGAAUAAGCACCGGCUAACUUCGUG
rnacentral:rRNA from 1 species